UGGGGAAUCUUGCGCAAUGGGCGGAAGCCUGACGCAGCAACGCCGCGUGAGGGAUGACGGCCUUCGGGUUGUAAACCUCUUUCGCGAUCGACGAAGGUCAUGCUUGUUGCAUGGCUGACGGUAGGUCGAGAAGAAGCACCGGCCAACUACGUGCCAGCAGCCGCGGUAAUACGUAGGGUGCGAGCGUUGUCCGGAAUUAUUGGGCGUAAAGAGCUCGUAGGCGGUGUGUCGCGUCGGCCGUGAAAACCUGGGGCUCAACUCUGGGCGUGCGGUCGAUACGGGCAUCACUGGAGUUCGGCAGGGGAGACUGGAAUUCCUGGUGUAGCGGUGAAAUGCGCAGAUAUCAGGAGGAACACCGGUGGCGAAGGCGGGUCUCUGGGCCGAUACUGACGCUGAGGAG
rnacentral:rRNA from 1 species